rnacentral:snRNA from 1 species
GUGCUCGCUUGGGCAGCACAUUUACUGAAACUUGACAGACACAGAGAUUAGUAUGGACCUGUGAAAGGAUGACUAAGUCAAUUUGUGCGGUAUUCCAUACUUUA